UGCUCCACUUACACCAACGCCAUCUCAUAUUUGCUUUUUUUCUUUUCUUAUAAAUUUUCUCUCUGAAGAAAGAAAAUUCUAGGGCAAAAAAAAAUAAAAAUGGGUCGUCUUCCCAGAAAAACCAAGCAAAACCUAGAUUUCCGUACCACCAAAGAUAAUGCCUGGUACACUGUUGGUAAGAUGAUUCUAAACAAGACCAAAAAGAUUCUCACUGUUAGAUUUGCUGAGUUCGGUAAAGAAGAUGACGAGAACUUCAGUGUCAAGGAUUUUAAAACAGUUAAAGAACUUGAAGAUUUCGCCCUGCUUGUGUUCAGUUACAGGACCAAGAAUGUGCUGAUGUGAGUCGUGGGUUGAAGGUUUGUGCUAUGUUUGAUCAAGGCGAAGAAGAUCAAAAGUUUUAUGAUGGAGCAAUUGAAUCGAUGGGUAUUCAACAGAUGGGUAUUCAACAGAUGGGUAUCUGACCGCAAACGUCACAACGUAGAGGAGGAGCAGAGAGUUGUGCUUGUGCAUUUGUGGUUGGCUGGUUAGAAGGUCCAGGGGAAAACAGUAUUCAACAGAUGGGUAUUGAGCGUAUCUGUAGAGUUCAACCAGGAUCUCCAUUGUUCGAUCAAGCGCUUGCAUAUUUCACGAAGGUGUCACGGGAACAGCUUGAUUUGGUUUCAAAUGAAAAUCAAUUGCCGAUCAAAAGAAAGGUGAAGGUUAAACUUCAGGUUUGAAUUUGCUUGCAGUAGCUAGUUGCUGGUUAAUGGUUGCGUAGUUUGGACCAUUUUAUUUUGUCAGCAGUCAUAAGGAAAUUUUGAAAAAUUAAACUUGGUGGGAAAUUUUGAUUACUAUUCUGUCGAUAAAAUUUUGGAAAUUUUGAUUGAGGAAUACAAAGUACGCAGUAGAAACUUAAUCAGGCGCCUUAAAUUCAUGUAAUUAUUUUGAUUGAGGUGUUAAUCAAGUUAUUAUUUAUUGACUGCA